rnacentral:rRNA from 1 species
AUUGAACGCUGGCGGCAGGCCUAACACAUGCAAGUCGAGCGGGGUUUUCGGACCUAGCGGCGGACGGGUGAGUAAUGCGUAGGAAGCUACCCGAUAGAGGGGGAUACCAGUUGGAAACGACUGUUAAUACCGCAUAAUGUCUACGGACCAAAGUGUGGGACCUUCGGGCCACAUGCUAUCGGAUGCGCCUACGUGGGAUUAGCUAGUUGGUGAGGGAAUGGCUCACCAAGGCGACGAUCCCUAGCUGGUUUGAGAGGGUGCUCAGCCACACUGGAACUGAGACACGGACCAGACUCCUACGGGAGGCAGCAGUGGGGAAUAUUGGACAAUGGGCGCAAGCCUGAUCCAGCCAUGCCGCGUGUGUGAAGAAGGCCUUCGGGUUGUAAAGCACUUUCAGCGAGGAGGAAGGGGUGAGUGUUAAUAGUACUCAUCUUUGACGUUACUCGCAGAAGAAGCACCGGCUAACUCUGUGCCAGCCGCCGCAGUAAGAC